AGUCCCAAGCAUGGUCCGAACACGUGUAGUUGUCAAAACACGUGUUUCUAAGGUUACCUCUUAUAUGGAUUCUCGUGUCGUGUUUCAGCGUUAGAUGUAAUAAGAUAUUUGAACCAGAGAAGUAGACCUUCCAAAGACAUCAUAUAACAGAAGAAACCAAACAAAUCAAAGGAGAGGAAAGUCAAGAUAGAAGAGGGUAACGAGGAGGAAUAGGAAGAAGAUCUCUGCUGCAAUUCAGAGAAAGGCAGCAGUUGUGUUUUCCUCAGUAAUGGAGACGGGGCAGAGUAAGGGGAAUAGGAGAGCAAUGGCUUCUCAAAUGCAGAAAGGCAUCAAGUAUGCAAAAUGGAGGAAGAAGAAAGGCUGAAGAAACUAUUAAACUCAACAAAAGGGAUGGUCCAAGAAGGUGAACUAUUAACUGGAGGUAUGGGAGAUGGCAGCAAAACCUCAAUUCCUGACUGAAUGAAGUUGACAAGAAUUACUAUCUAAAGAGUGAAUUGUAGCGGGAUGUUUUACAGGUCAAAUUGAAAAGCACAGCAAGACUAGUCAACUAAACCAAAGAGAAUGCUGAGAAAAUCUUCAGAUAUGCUGAUUAUGCAGAAAUCAGUAAUAUGAUUGGUUGCCUGAGAAUGUGUGAGUGAAAGAAGGCUGAUAUUGCAUCCGAGAAAGGUGGUGUAAAUAAUGAUUGAAUGUAUGCUGGCAAAUGGAAGGAGAAGAAACAAUCCUGUUAUUAUAUAGUUGUCAAGAAAAUUGAAUAAUUAUAUUGUUGUCAAGAAAACUUCAAUAGCUGUGUAUGUUUUUUUAAUCUUUUUUCGUGAAGAAAACUUGGAAAUUUUAAAGAUAUAUAUACCUCAAUAUUCUGAAUGCCUAUUUUGUGUUGAACCCAUCAGAUGUGUGUGUGUGUGCGACUGACAUUCACUUCAAAAUAUAGAUACAUAGUGAUGAUAAUGACAGUAAUGAUGAUGAUAAAAAAUAUGAUCAUAAUGAAAACAAUGAGAGUGGGAUUGAUAAUGAUAAUAAUAAUGAUAACCACAACAUGUAAUUUUACAAUCAAACAUGCUUCCUCCUUCACCUCCCAUUGUCACCUGUAAAACUUGUGAUUCAUAGGUAUUGUUGGACCAGUGAUAUUAUGAUAGAUUUUCCAUAAAAGCUGUAGCCACAAACUUCAGUGACAAGCAUUCAGAUCAUCCAGACUAAUCAGUCACUUUACCCACAAGAAUUACAGUAUUAAAGCCUGUGAACUUGAA